GAGUUAGUGACAAGGAGGGCUCGCUCUUGGGGCUAGUGGUGGGGAGGCAGUGGCCAGUUCAGGGCUCAGAUGAGAGAGGUGACAGAAUUAGAGGCAGCCACUAGGAUGGGGGUGCGAGGAGAAGCGGGGCUAAGUAUAAAGGAGACUAGAUUUUGGGACAGUGGUCGUGUGGAAGGCAGCUUCCAAAGCGCCUUUAACAAUCCACAAAGAACCAGCAGCUUUCAAGACCAGGCUAUCCCUGCUGUCUGCUGGCAUAGGGGCACUUGACGUCCAGGAGGGCACAAGUUUCACAGGCCUACAUGGGGGCAGUGUCCUAGCUUGAGUGGCAGAGCAGCAGUUGGUGGAGACGGGUGGACUGGGGGCCCUUGAGGCCCCGGAAAUCAUAGAGGACAGGCAGUGGGGCAGGACUAGGUGUGUGUAGUGGAGGUCGCCUUUGAUCUUGACAAAACCAGCAGACCCCUUUUUUUCCAGAUAAGGGGUUGUGAACCCACCUGGGGAUGAGGCCUGGUCUUAUGGAAGGUGGACUUAGCUUCGCUGGGCGGACAGCUCUGGCCCAGGGUGAUAGCAGUGCCCUCUCUGGACUUUGCCUAGGUUCCGUGCUUCCUCUUCUGUGGUCUCACUCUUCCCUACUCUUGCCCCUCACUCUGAGGUUAAGGGGUCACUUAAAACCUUGCCCCUGGGUCAUCCGGUAAGCCUGAGGAGGAUGUAGAGUCGGUCCUGGAGUCUUGGGCACGGCAUUUUGGUAACGGUGGAGGACACCCUGACUGGGCGGGGAGGGAUGGUGUUGAUUCACAGAGGGCGGGACGUGAGUGUGGACCCUGGGGUGGGCUCACAGCCAUGUUUCCGGUCACCCAAAUGCUUCAUGGACGUGGUUUAUCACUAUAGUGUUCACCAUGGCAAGCAGAUGGCACCAGGAGAUAUGGAGCCCCUGCCAGUGUGAGUCCGUAGCAGUGCAGGAGGGCUCACCCUGGAGGAGACAGCGGCCUCGGUUGAUGCCUACACAGUGAAUUCCAGAGGCUUAGGAAGCGCGUCCCUGCCCUGGGUCCAGGCCUUUCUCAGGAAGCCCUGUGCUCAGGAGGCCAUCGUUGAAGUCAGCUUGUAGGGGGUGGGCAGGUGCUUCCCGCCGGAGGGACCGUCGGCUGUGAAUGUUCCAGAUGAAUGUCUUGUUCUGGGAGCAUCAUUCUUUGCGGAUGCAUGAAUGGCAGCAGGCACCCUUUUUCAUGGGGGUAGAGGCGUUCGACUGCUGCAUCUUCUAAACAAGCCUCCAUCCAGCCUUUGUAGUUCUGUGCUUCGAACUUGGCCUCGAGAAGAUUGCGUAAGGUGUAGGACACUUUAACUUCUGCGCAGCGUGCUGCACUGUAGAUCGGGAGCCCAGUGACCUCGCCCACCUUCCCUGCUUCUGCAGCCUGCCUGCCUCUGCAUUGGUCAGAGGGAUUCUUAACUGAAAACUUGUGGGUGUUGGGGAAAGCUGUUGGGUUGUAAAUGACUGGUGUGGAGGAAUCUUCCUUAGAUGGAGCUGGUUGUAAAAUGGGUAGGGUUUGUGGUUUAACAGUGGGAAGGCACAAGUUAGCCACAAAUUCUGCCGACUUGGUAGAUGCCGUAUCUAAUUUGGGCUUUGGGACUAAAAGGGAUCAGUGGGCCUGAAGUGGUCCCUGGGAAUGGUCUCUCCCAGGGUGUGGAUUUGAUACUGGGUGGUUGAGUGGCAACAGUGGUUCUGGCCCCUUUUGUUCAUUAGCUUUUAUGACUUAGGGCCUGGCUGUGUAUACCAGGCUGGCCUGGGUUCACAGCCCUGCUCAGAUGACAGUGUCCUGAAACAUGGCCUUCCAAGGUGAAACCUGAGUUAUGGCUCAAGCUUGGGAAUAAUACUUUUGGCACCAGAUAUGAGACUUGUGGGAGAAAGCAGGGCUCAGCUUGGCAUUGGUGGGUUGAAGGAGUCGGGGUGCCGGUAAGGAUUGUGCCUGGAACCGUGGGUUGAUGGGAAUAACAGUUUGGGAACUAAAUAGUUCACAUGAAAAUCUAAAGGCUGAUGGUAAAUCCCUGCAGGUGGCACUACUUUGAGAUGCAGUUGCUUGGAAAAUACCAAAAUCCUACAAGGGGAAAAGCAAAAUUGUUUUGCUUCACUGUUGAAUGGGGAAGGGUGACAUAUGAAAAGCUUUUCUUAGUUGCUCAAUAGAUGGUUGUCACUACCCUGACCCAGGCAGGCCACAGGGGUGGAGCCUGGUGGGGGGAAGCUGAUUGCCAAGAAGUGAAGUUGGGGAGGGGUUUGUAAACGCCUCCGUUGUGGGCUCUGAAACCAUAGUAUGGGGAGGUUGGCAGACUCUUCUGGGACUCUAUUGAAAUUCUGUCAUACUGUGUGAUUAAGAAUUCCAAUGCUGCUAUCUAAAGGAAUUUCAUAUGGGAGUCAUGCCUUAUACAACACAUACAGGAAUUUAAUGUGUGAGCCAUGCCUUCAAAACACAUCUCGAAUUUCUGGAAUUGGCCAGAAGACAACAGGGUUUGCUUAUUUAACCUUUCAAAUCAGUCAUUGUGACAAGGGGACAGGGUCUUGCGCUUGCUAUGAGAUCAUUGUGAUGCUUGUAGAAACCUCAUGAGUGCUUUGCCACUGAAUACAUCCAUUGUGGGUUUGGCUUGAAUGGUGCUUUAAAACCAUCCCUGAGCAGAGGGGACGCUGUUAAACUGUCAGUCAAAGCAGUUUGGGAAAUAAAAGAGACUGGGCCCUGGGUCAUCUUACUAGAUAACACUUUGUAAAAAUUGGUUCUGAAAACCCUGUUUAUUUGCCUAUUUGUGAAAACCCUGUAUAUGUGGUUGUUUUGUGAGUGUGCUUAAAAGUGGUGUGACCAGGGCAAGAUCGCUCAUUGGAACAGCUGUGUGGAAUGGGGAAAUGUGAAGAAAGCUGUAACUGCAGGUUGGUCGCACCCGCUUCUCUGUACUAAAGUGUUCAGUGUACAAACCCACUAGCCAUUUUCCUCCCCUUCACAGCAAAAUAAAGGUUUGAGAUUGAA
rnacentral:lncRNA from 1 species